rnacentral:rRNA from 1 species
GACAGAGGGUGCAAACGUUGUUCGGAAUUACUGGGCGUAAAGCGCGCGCAGGCGGCCCGGUAAGUCGGAUGUGAAAUCCCACGGCUCAACCGUGGAACUGCAUUCGAUACUGUCGGGCUAGAGGCAGGUAGGGGAGAUCGGAAUUCCUGGUGUAGCGGUGAAAUGCGCAGAUAUCAGGAGGAACACCGGUGGCGAAGGCGGGUCUCUGGGCAACAACUGACGCUGAGGAGCGAAAGCGUGGGGAGCGAACAGG